CCUACGGGCGGCUGCAGUGGGGAAUAUUGGACAAUGGGCGCAAGCCUGAUCCAGCAAUGCCGCGUGUGUGAAGAAGGCCUGCGGGUUGUAAAGCACUUUCAGUGGGGAGGAAGGCCUCGAUAUUAAUACUAUUGAGGAUUGACGUUACCCACAGAAGAAGCACCGGCUAACUCUGUGCCAGCAGCCGCGGUAAUACAGAGGGUGCAAGCGUUACGUGGAAUUACUGUGCGUAAAGGGUGCAGUGAUGGGUGAAAGCCCCUGGCUCAACCUGGGAAUUGCAUUUGAUACUGAGUAACUUGAGUAUGGUAGAGGGAAGUGGAAUUUCCAGUGUAGCGGUGAAAUGCGUAGAUAUUGGAAGGAACAUCAGUGGCGAAGGCGACUUCCUGGACCAUUACUGACACUGAGGCACGAAAGCGUGGGGAGCGAACAGGAUUAGAUACCCCAGUAGUC
rnacentral:rRNA from 1 species